rnacentral:rRNA from 1 species
UACGAAGGGGGCUAGCGUUGUUCGGAAUCACUGGGCGUAAAGGGCGCGUAGGCGGCUUUGUAAGUCGGGGGUGAAAGCCUGUGGCUCAACCACAGAAUUGCCUUCGAUACUGCAUGGCUUGAGACCGGAAGAGGUAAGUGGAACUGCGAGUGUAGAGGUGAAAUUCGUAGAUAUUCGCAAGAACACCAGUGGCGAAGGCGGCUCACUGGUCCGGAUCUGACGCUGAGGCGGCGAAAAGCGUGGGGGAGCAAACAGG